UCACCCCUGCGUGACUGGCGAUAGAACCCAAUGCUGUCAAGCGUGGCGGGUUCAAGGUGGAGCGUCCCACCGUGAAGCGCAGGGUGCCGUUUUGCCGUUCGCCUGGGCAGCCAUG
rnacentral:ncRNA from 22 species